rnacentral:rRNA from 1 species
CCUACGGGAGGCAGCAGUGGGGAAUAUUGCACAAUGGGCGAAAGCCUGAUGCAGCGACGCCGCGUGAGGGAUGACGGCCUUCGGGUUGUAAACCUCUUUCAGUAGGGAAGAAGCGAAAGUGACGGUACCUGCAGAAGAAGCGCCGGCUAACUACGUGCCAGCAGCCGCGGUAAUACGUAGGGCGCAAGCGUUAUCCGGAAUUAUUGGGCGUAAAGAGCUCGUAGGCGGUUUGUCGCGUCUGCCGUGAAAGUCCGGGGCUCAACUCCGGAUCUGCGGUGGGUACGGGCAGACUAGAGUGAUGUAGGGGAGACUGGAAUUCCUGGUGUAGCGGUGAAAUGCGCAGAUAUCAGGAGGAACACCGAUGGCGAAGGCAGGUCUCUGGGCAUUAACUGACGCUGAGGAGCGAAAGCAUGGGGAGCGAACAGGAUUAGAUACCCUGGUAGUCCAUGCCGUAAACGUUGGGCACUAGGUNUGGGGGAACCAUUCCACGUUUCCGCGCGUAGCUACGCAUUAGUGCCCCGCGUGGGNGACGGCGCGAGACGUAACUAAACUAGAGUAGACGCGNGAGAGUGCGACGACGACGACGAGGGAGUAGG